CAGUAGCCGCGGUAAUACGGAGGGAGCUAGCGUUGUUCGGAAUUACUGGGCGUAAAGCGCGCGUAGGCGGUUACUCAAGUCAGAGGUGAAAGCCCGGGGCUCAACCCCGGAACUGCCUUUGAAACUAGGUGACUAGAAUCUUGGAGAGGUCAGUGGAAUUCCGAGUGUAGAGGUGAAAUUCGUAGAUAUUCGGAAGAACACCAGUGGCGAAGGCGACUGACUGGACAAGUAUUGACGCUGAGGUGCGAAAGCGUGGGGAGCAAACAGGAUUAGAUACCCGUGUAGUCCCUGUCUCUUAUAU
rnacentral:rRNA from 1 species